AAGGGCCUCUAUCUAUAGAUGAGGCUUACUUAUCAUAUUUCUGUAGCAAACAUAGCAUGAAGCCGCGCCUUGGCAUUAUUGUUUUUGACAGAGCGUAAUUACGAAAUGGGUUAUUGUUAAUUUAUCAGCUUUGACUACCUUGUAAGAAAGGAAAGGGGCGAAACCCUCAUACUGUAAGAAAGAGGUGAAACCCUCAUAUUGCUGUAUUUGUAUAUUCUCUAGGUUGGGAAUCACAGUUACUGGAGACAGGGUUUCUUGCAAUAUUUCUGUGUCCAGUUUUGAAACUCCGUCAGGUUCCUGAACACACACCAACAUCAUGGGUUGUUGUCUUUGGUUACAGGUGGCUCAUAUUUAGAAUCAUGUUUGGAGCUGUAAGUAUUGCACUACGCUAUACCAACGCACAAGUUUUAACUAACCUGCAGCAGACUAUAGUAGCAAUACUAUUAUUAUUACUAGCAUUGUUCCACUGACAACUUGUCAACAGGAUGUUUUUGCAUUGCUUCUUCCCAGCUUGUUCACAACUUAUCGACGGCUUCGCUCGCUACAAGGUUGUUGAACUCAUCAAACUUUUUACAAGUUUUUUCAACAACUUGUUAUCGUCAACAACAAAGUUACUACAAGCCUGUUACGAACACUAUUAUAUAAUUAUUUGACGAGGUUGAGCAAAAUAUCGUGAUUUGCCAUUGGCGAGCAGAUCAAUUAUUUGCCGAUGGCGAAGACAGAGGCAUUUUUUGUAUGACCUCACGUUAUAUGUCUGUUCACAUUAAGCUGUUUCGGUUCGCAAAACAGGCUUAAGUUGUGAAAAAAUAAAAAAAACAGAAAUAUAAUAAAAAUAUCUUAAAGUGAAGCAAAAUAAAGACCGUUGUUUACACAAAGCCGCCAAGUACUCCGUUUUCAUCUCGCUCUGUUUACAGGCUUUAAAAUAUCACGGUGUGAUACAAAAUGUCCGAUGACUUUGAGUUUGGGUCGGACAUACUGUAUGUAUGAUGAUGUCCGAUGACCUUCCGUUUAGUUGGGAUCGCAAAUAAGUCUGAAUGACACAAAUUAAUAUCUGCACGAUAUAUUAGUUCUGAACGGCGAAUGCCGCCCCCUGCUCAAUUACAUUAAAACAACAUUUCCAGUUCACUUUUUUAUAGAUUUCUCUGAUAGGAUGCAUUUCGAUUUAUGUUGGACAAAGCUAGUUUAAGCUACAGUUCGGUUGGACACCAAUAUACUCGGGUCAGACAAACAAUAAACCUCAGUUUCACAUAGAUCGGACAGUAUGUCCGGUGGUUUCCUCUGUACGUCGGACAAUUUCACGCAUGGGUUGGACAAUGUCCGUGACCGACCGAUAUUUUAAGGCCUGAGUUUAGAAACCGUGCUUUUCAAACAUUUCACUCCGGCGCAGUUUGAACGCGUCAGCUAUUUAUCACCUUCCGCGCUGUUUUCAAACCACCCCUGGGUAGUGCGAGUCUUAGAAUUUGAUAGGUGUGGUAGAUCAUAGUGCUUUAGCCAAAAUUGUCACCUAUGUGCCUGCAAAUGUAAAUUUAAAUCAUACUUAGGGUUCGAUUUUUCGAAAGCCGGUUAACUUAAUCGUAGGUUAAGGAAAAUUUCAAACAAUAUUCCCUACAGCCUGUUUAGUAAAAUGAAGAUAGUUUCCCAGAAUUCUUCUGUGGUUCAAUAGAAGUUUUAUUUUCCAAAGUUGUUGAGAAAAAAAAACAGGAGUGCAGAUGUAGCCAAACUAAAACAGUAGGUUCAAUUUUAACCCAGGGUUAGCGUUAAUCCAGCUUUGAACAACUGGCCCCAGGGUAUUACACCAAGUAUACAAACGCCGCCAUGUGUUCUUCUGCAAAGAUACUGCAAGGCUCAUCAAUUUGCUGAAUACAGUUUUGUGGCAAACUAUAAUCACGUGCAAUAUGUAAUUUAAUGUACUAAUUUUUCUAGGGAAUGAUAAAGAUCCGGGGUGAUCAGUGUUGGCGAGAUUUGACGUGCAUGAAUUACCACUAUCAGGUACUGUCAUCAAUAAUUUUUCUCUUUCUUGAAUAAGCCGCCUUUCUAUUAUAAAAAACUGUCAUUGAAAACGUGCUCGUAUGUAACCGGCUUAAUAUAAUUUACCCUUGAUAUAUUUUUUUACAGAAUCAACCAGUUCUACAUGUCAACCUUAAUAUAAUUUACCCUGAUAUUCCCACGAUCGUCAGAUUAAGAGCAUUGAUAUAUUUUCUUUACAGAAUCAACCAUUUCUACAUGUAAACCUUAAUAUAAUUUACCUCGCUAGUCGCUAUUCCCACAAUCGUCAGAUUAAGAGCCUUGAUAUACUGUAUUUUCUUUACAAAAUCAACCAGUUCCAAACCUUGAUAUAAUUUACCUCGCCGUUCCCACAAUUAUCAGAUUAAGAGCCUUGACAUAUUUUCUUUACAGACUCAACCAGUUCCAAACCUUAAUACUGUAUAAUUUACCUCGCUGUUCCCACAAUCAUGAUACAUAUACCCCACUAUUCCCACAAUCAUCAGAUUAAUAGCCUUAAAUAUCUUCUUUACAGACUCAACCCGUUCCAAAUCCUAUCAGUUAUUAUUUUCAUCAAUCGCCAGAAAUAUUCCACAAAUUUGAAACUUUGGGCAAUCAUUUUAUUGAGCUUGUUGUUCCGUGGUUUCUGUUGCUGCCGGCUCCAUUUACAAUUAUAUGCGGAGUCCUACAGAUUAUUUUUCAGGU